rnacentral:rRNA from 1 species
AUUGAACGCUGGCGGCGUGCUUAACACAUGCAAGUCGAUCGGUAACGCGGGGGCAACCCUGGCGACGAGAGGCGGACGGGUGAGGAACGCUUGGGAAUCUGCCUAUCAGCGGGGGACAACACGGGGAAACUCGUGCUAAUACCGCAUACGCUCUACGGAGGAAAGCCGGGGACCGCAAGGCCUGGCACUGAUAGAUGAGCCCAAGCCGGAUUAGCUAGUUGGCGGGGUAACGGCCCACCAAGGCGAAGCGCAGUAGCUGGUCGGAGAGGACGAGCAGCAACACUGGGACUGAGACGCGGCCCAGACUCCUACGGGAGGCAGCAGUGGGGAAUAUUGGACAAUGGGGGAAACCCUGAUCCAGCGACGCCGCGUGGGUGAAGAAGGCCUGCGGGUUGUAAAGCCCUUUCGGUAGGGACGAAAGCUCUCGACCUAACACGUCGGGAGGUUGACUUAACCUACAAAAGAAGCACCGGCUAACUCUGUGCCAGCCGCCGCGGUAAGAC